AAGUAUUGGGACUCGGAGACGUGGCUUGUCUGUGAAGGGAAAUACUUACUGGCUUGCUCUUACUGAAGACGGACCGCCAUUUGAUAUGUUCUUAUUAUGUUUUGAUUUUUCGACUGACGGAUUUCGACGUCUGUCUCUUCCGACGGAUACUCCUUGUACUUAUUAUGAUGUGUCUUUAUCAGUGACUAGAGAAGAGCAACAACUUUGUA
rnacentral:sRNA from 1 species